rnacentral:rRNA from 1 species
AUUGAACGCUGGCGGCAUGCCUUACACAUGCAAGUCGAACGGCAGCACGGGUGCUUGCACCUGGUGGCGAGUGGCGAACGGGUGAGUAAUACAUCGGAACGUACCUUAUCGUGGGGGAUAACGCAGCGAAAGCUGUGCUAAUACCGCAUACGCCCUGAGGGGGGAAAGCGGGGGGAUCGAAAGACCUCGCGCGAUUAGAGCGGCCGAUGCCUGAUUAGCUUGUUGGUGGGGUAAAAGCCACCAAGGCGACGAUCAGUAGCUGGUCUGAGAGGACGAUCAGCCACACUGGGACUGAGACACGGCCCAGACUCCUACGGGAGGCAGCAGUGGGGAAUUUUGGGACAAUGGGGGAAACCCUGAUCCAGCAAUGCCGCGUGAGUGAAGAAGGCCU